AAACCAUAAUGGGGGCAAUGCCUAAGUUGGUCUUUGAUUCUAUCCCAGGUUUCAUACAGCGACUCACCAUCCAACUAUAUGAAUAAAGUGAUAUCGUUCCUCAUUUU
rnacentral:snoRNA from 1 species